GGGCUCUUAGCUCAGCUGGUAGAGCAGCGGACUCUUAAUCCGUUGGUCGUAGGUUCGAAUCCUACAGGGCCCACCA
rnacentral:tRNA from 8 species